rnacentral:rRNA from 1 species
AAACUCGUGCUCAUCAGCUCAUAGCGUAUAUUAAGUUGUUGCAGUUAAAAAGCUCGUAUUGAACCUUGGGUCUGGCUGGCCGGUCCGCCUCACCGCGAGUACUGGUCCGGCUGGACCUUUCCUUCUGGGGAACCCCAUGGCCUUCACUGGCUGUGGGGGGAACCAGGACUUUUACUGUGAAAAAAUUAGAGUGUUUAAAGCAGGCACCACU